UACGUAGGGAGCGAGCGUUGUCCGGAUUUACUGGGUGUAAAGGGUGCGUAGGCGGCUAGACAAGUCAGGUGUGAAAUACCGCAGCUCAACUGCGGGGCUGCACUUGAAACUGUAGAGCUUGAGUGAUGGAGAGGUAAGCGGAAUUCCUAGUGUAGCGGUAAAAUGCGUAGAUAUUAGGAGGAACACCAGUGGCGAAGGCGGCUUACUGGACAUUAACUGACGCUGAGGCACGAAAGCGUGGGGAGCAAACAGG
rnacentral:rRNA from 2 species